AUACUCAAUCUGAAGCUACAUGGCAAGGCUUGAUGUCACACAUGUUCUUAAAACCACAUCACAGUAUAGAAGUACUCAUCUUCCUGAAGGUGGUGCCUCAGAAGAAGAUGAGUUCACUUAGUUACUUAUAGAGAGAAGUUCCAUGCCAAAAAAAUUUGUCAGUGGAGCCCAAAGAGCACUGAAACCACAGUGGCUGUGGUUUACCUUCAGAUUCAUACACCUAAAUUUGCGUAUCUAAACAGCUCCUUUAGGGGUUUUGCAGCUGUGAGAGGCCUUCAAGCGGAUGUUUGGAUAAUCCAAGUUUGUAUUUUACAUUUACAGGUAGAAGUUGUAUACACUAUCACUAUUACAGAAAAUGGAAACUAUUUGCUCAAGUCUCAUGUGUGUCAAGCUCUGUGGUUUAUACUAAAUGUAGACUUUAUAGCCUGUUAUGUACACUGUGUGUUUCCUGUGCUAGGGAUCCACAAGACAGAAAACCUGAAACCUGUGAAGUUCCCUUUUCUCAGACCUUGGUAUAGCAUCAUCAUCAGUGGUUUCCAUGACAGUGCAAGCUUCCAGCUCCGUAAUAUGUAGUUCAGCAAUGGUGUGACUCAGGUGGUGAUUCAGUAGGUGGCAAGCUUCCUUCUGUCAAUAUUGAAUUUAUGCCCUGCUAUCAGAGUGCACAGCACUGUUUAAAGUACUGUCUUUCCAAUGGGAUACAAGAGUAACAUGGGGACCGGUUACUAUUGUUCAAGAUCCCAUGGCAGUUAAUUUUUUGCAUGGGUGGAAAUAUUAACUCUUGAGCAUCAGCCAGGUUUCAGUUUGGAGAAGUACGUUCUGCUUAAGCUUUCCUUUCCUGUCCUUACGCUGGCUUGUAAUCUUACUCUUCCU
ensembl:lncRNA